GGUGAUAUGGCGCAGCGGGGUAAGAGCACUGGCUUUCCUUGCCAAAGGUCCUGAGUUCAAAUCCCAGCACCA
rnacentral:tRNA from 1 species